rnacentral:tRNA from 1 species
GCGCACGUGGCGGAAUUGGUAGACGCUUUAGCUUGAGGGGCUAAUGGUUAUUAUAAUCGUGGAAGUUCGAGUCUUCUCGUGCGCA